CAUAGGAGGUAACAAUAAUAAAUCUGAAAACUUGUGGAAAAUUUUACGGAUUUCUAUAUAUAUUAAUAUUUAAAAUAUUAGGCAAAAUUAUUAAUAAUUAUUAAUAUGACCAAAGUCUAUUAACUAAGAAAAUGUCUUUUUUUUUUUUUUUUUUUAUAAAAAUUAGUUGUGAAAUUUUCGAAAUAACUGCAAAUGACAAAUUAUCCGAAGGCGAUGCUACUAGAUAUAACUGAGGAAAUGUUUUUUUUUUUUUACAUCGACUCAAACAGAAUCCAAAGAUUGUCCUCGAUUUUCAAUUACCCUAUUGCCAAUCCAAAUACCGAUUUCGCUGGAAUUCGAAUGGAAAAUCACCACCACCGACUUAGAGUUAUUCUGGGAAUUAAAGCCAGAUCCAUCCGUGUGUGUCCGUUUGACACACACGGAUGGAUCUGGUGCCGAUCAUUUUCUCCGCGAUUAUUAAUUACAGUCGUUGCGUAAUCAGUUUGUUGAUGACUUAUUUCUUAACGGUAUUAUCCGUCAUUCCACAUUUUACAUUCCUAUGGAUGAGGAGGAGUAUUUAAAUUCCAAUUAAAUAUUCCACUGGGACUGUAGGUUUUCUACGCUGGUUUGAAUGGCAUUCCGCCUGGAGCGCCGCCACCAGUCUCACUUAUCUUCCUUAAAUUUCUCCAGGCGUUAGUAUUAUUAUCCACUGGAAAAUGACCGUCCAGCUUAGAAAGAGAAAAUUCGGUUUUGUUUCCUCUAGCCAAAGUGUGAUAGCGCGCAUACCCGAAUGGUUUUAAAUCCGCUAAGUUAAAAUGAAAGAUUUUUGGCAAGUUACGUAUAAUUAUCGUCCGAGAGAGAAAUUGAAAUGACCUGACAAAUACCAUCCAAAAGUAAUUUCUUCAUUUUUAAUAUAUAUUUUACGUGCCGAAUCCGUCGAGUAAUAAAUAUAAUCUAAAGGCGCGUAUUCAUCCGAGAGAGAAACUUUGGCCAGAGAUUCUCGAGAGAGAAUUUGGCCAGUGGAUACAUUCCCGCAGGGCCGUAACUAGGGCGUGACCAAAGCGGCAUUGGCCACGGGCGCAGCUUGAUUAGGGGCGCAAAUUUUUUAUUUCAAUUAUUUGCAGGCAAAUGAUUUUUUCGAUAAACGUUCGCAGACAUAGCGUUGUUUUUCUUUGAUUUUAUUUCUUAGAAGAGGUAAUUCGUGGGUAAGAGCGGUC
rnacentral:lncRNA from 1 species